rnacentral:rRNA from 1 species
UGGGGAAUCUUGCGCAAUGGGCGAAAGCCUGACGCAGCAACGCCGCGUGGAGGAUGAAGGCCCUUGGGUUGUAAACUCCUGUCGGCUGGGAAGAAGUCGUUCGCGGUUAAUACCCGCGGACGUUGACUGUACCAGCAAAGGAAGCCCCGGCUAACUCUGUGCCAGCAGCCGCGGUAAUACAGAGGGGGCCAGCGUUAUUCGGAAUUAUUGGGCGUAAAGGGCGCGUAGGCGGCCAUGCGUGUCUUCCGUGAAAUCCCUCGGCUCAACCGAGGACGUGCGGAAGAAACUGCAAGGCUCGAGUCCAGAAGAGGGGGGCGGAAUUCCCAGUGUAGCGGUGAAAUGCGUAGAUAUUGGGAGGAACACCGGUGGCGAAGGCGGCCCCCUGGGCUGGUACUGACGCUGAUGCGCGAAAGCGUGGGUAGCAAACGGG